rnacentral:rRNA from 1 species
GACGAACGCUGGCGGCGUGCUUAACACAUGCAAGUCGAACGGAAAGGCCCUGCUUUUGUGGGGUGCUCGAGUGGCGAACGGGUGAGUAACACGUGAGUAACCUGCCCUUGACUUUGGGAUAACUUCAGGAAACUGGGGCUAAUACCGGAUAGGAGCUCCUGCUGCAUGGUGGGGGUUGGAAAGUUUCGGCGGUUGGGGAUGGACUCGCGGCUUAUCAGCUUGUUGGUGGGGUAGUGGCUUACCAAGGCUUUGACGGGUAGCCGGCCUGAGAGGGUGACCGGGCACAUUGGGACUGAGGUACGGCCCAGACUCCUACGGGAGGCAACAGGGGGGAAUAUUGCACAAUGGGCGGAAGCCUGAUGCAGCAACGCCGCGUGCGGGAUGACGGCCUUCGGGUUGUAAACCGCUUUCGCCUGUGACGAAGCGUGAGUGACGGUAAUGGGUAAAGAAGCACCGGCUAACUACGUG